rnacentral:lncRNA from 1 species
CUUAAGGAGAGCUGGUCCUCUGGUCUCAGUGUAGCUACAGGGGGGGAAACACACUAAAGUCCUUCAAAGGGAACCCGGACUAUUUCACUGAGUUCCUCUACCUUGAUAUACAGUUAAAAAAUGAUUACAGCUCUAUCACCCUGUGAGCGUCCAUCACCCUCAAGCCUCAAGGAAACCAGGGUAAACACAGCGACCGUUGCCAUCCUUCAGCAUUCCCAGAACUUCAUUUCCUCCCAUGCACUUCCUUCUGAAGAACCUCCAGGACACUUUUGUUUGGGUGGAGACAGAAACAAGCUCAAAGCCCUGUUACAGUGGAGGAAUCAAGACCCCAACAGGCGUGGCCUGGUCACUCAGCAACACUGACAGACCACACGGCCGAGUCCGGGACUCCUGAUUCAGAGGCGGAGAGAUCGCCUUAAUGCAGCAUUCCCCAUCUGACGUGGAAGGGGGGGCGCAGAAAGCGUUCUGCUCUCAAAUAAGAUUUGUACGAUGAACCCAGUGUUGAACAAAUAAACAGCUUUCUUUUCUGCA